AUUGAACGCUGGCGGCAGGCCUAACACAUGCAAGUCGAACGAGGGGCGGAGGGGUGAGUAAUGUCUGGGAAACUGCCUGAUGGAGGGGAAUAACUACUGGAAACGGUACCUAAUACGGCAUACAAGCAGGUGUGCCCCGAUGGGAGUAGCUAGUUGGUGGGGGAACGGGUCACCAAGGCGACGAGCCCUAGCUGGUCUGAGAGGAUGAACAGUCACACUGGAACUUAGACACGGUCCAGACUCCUAAGUGAGGCAGCAGUGGGGAAUAUUGCACAAUGGGCGCAAGCCUGAGGCAGCCAUGCCGCGUGUAGGAAGAAGGCUGUCGGGUUGUAAAGGACUUUCAGCGGGGAGGCGUUACCCGCAGAAGAAGCACCGGCUAACUCCGUGUCAGCCGCCGCGGUAAUAC
rnacentral:rRNA from 1 species